UACGUAGGGGGCAAGCGUUGUCCGGAAUCAUUGGGCGUAAAGGGCGCGUAGGCGGCCUUCUAAGUCGAACGUGAAAUCCCUGGGCUCAACCCAGGAACUGCGUCCGAUACUGGGAGGCUUGAAUCCGGGAGAGGGAUGUGGAAUUCCAGGUGUAGCGGUGAAAUGCGUAGAUAUCUGGAGGAACACCGGUGGCGAAGGCAGCUCGCUGGGACGUUACUGACGCUGAGACGCGAAAGCGUGGGGAGCAAACGGG
rnacentral:rRNA from 1 species